UUCAUUAUCACUCACACCGUCUUUGCCGAUUUCACGGUCCUCAUCUGCCGGUAUCUCGGUGAUACAUCUGAACCUGAUGUUGCCUGAGGACGUCCACUAGAGAUGACGCAUCUAGGGUUCGGUAGAAUUCUACCGCAAUCAAUCGGAUAAUGAUUUUGUGGAGUAUUAUGGAGAAGGAAGUAGGUAUUGCAUCAACAUCAAACCAAUAACCACGAUCAAUGACGGAUGUUUUGAAGAUGCCUACAGGGGAUUUAAUCACAUGAGAUGAAGAUAAUUCAUAAGAGAUGAUGAUGAUUAAGAACCAACAUUUUUGUAAGUUUUUGUUUGUUUUUUAGUUACUAGGUUAAUUGUAGUGUUCUGAUAUAAAGCUAUUGCUGAUGAACCAUAAUAUUAGUGAUUUUUUUGCUAUAGAGCUUAUGAAUUUUAUUUCCUUUUCCUCAUAAAUGUAACAGGAACAAGAUCAUGAGUAAAUGUGCAUUAUUGAAAUGAUUCACAUUUAAAGGAAUGUGGGUUAGUAACACACUAUUUUUUUAUUAAGACCAAAAUGACUUACAGAUAUGUUUAUAUCUGCUUCAAUAUAGUUUAAGAACAUUAUAUAACUUAAUUAUAACAUACAUUAGCUAAAUCUAUUUUUCUUUUUGAAUGCAUAAAAAGUGAUUAAUUCUUUUUCCACUUGGUUAAUGAUCUCAUCUUCACAGGAAACUCACGCCUACUAGCCUGUGCUUACAAUAAUUGUUCUUUUCCAUUAUCUUUCUUGGAUUCCUUGUCGCUUUAUUUGUUUCAGAAAAAAAAAUUGUAUGGUUACUGAUUUUAUUGAUAGAUAAAAAAUGCCUAAUGUAUGUUUAAUGAUCCAU